AUAUCAAUAAGCGGAGGAAAAGAAACCAACAGGGAUUGCCCUAGUAACGGCGAGUGAAGCGGCAACAGCUCAAAUUUGAAAUCUGGCCCCAGGCCCGAGUUGUAAUUUGCAGAGGAUGCUUUUGGCAAAGCGCAUACCGAGUCCCCUGGAACGGGGCGCCACAGAGGGUGAGAGCCCCGUAUGGUACGACGCCGAGCCUCUGUAAAGCUCCUUCGACGAGUCGAGUAGUUUGGGAAUGCUGCUCUAAAUGGGAGGUAAAUUUCUUCUAAAGCUAAAUACCGGCCAGAGACCGAUAGCGCACAAGUAGAGUGAUCGAAAGAUGAAAAGCACUUUGAAAAGAGGGUUAAAUAGCACGUGAAAUUGUUGAAAGGGAAGCGCUCGUGACCAGACUUGCGCCGGGCGGAUCAUCCAGCGUUCUCGCUGGUGCACUCCGCCCGGCUCAGGCCAGCAUCGGUUUUCGCCGGGGGACAAAAGCUUCGGGAACGUGGCUCCCUUCGGGGAGUGUUAUAGCCCGUCGUUUAAUACCCCGGCGGGGACCGAGGACCGCGCUUCGGCAAGGAUGCUGGCGUAAUGGUCAUCAGCGACCCGUCUUGAAACACGGACCGAGGAGUCAAGCAUUAGUGCGAGUGUUUGGGUGUAAAACCCGCACGCGUAAUGAAAGUGAACGUAGGUGAGAGCUUCGGCGCAUCAUCGACCGAUCCUGAUGUUUUCGGAUGGAUUUGAGUAGGAGCAUUAACGCUUGGACCCGAAAGAUGGUGAACUAUACUUGAAUAGGGUGAAGCCAGAGGAAACUCUGGUGGAGGCUCGCAGCGGUUCUGACGUGCAAAUCGAUCGUCAAAUUUGAGUAUAGGGCGAAAGACUAAUCG
rnacentral:rRNA from 1 species